AUCUUUAUGAGCUGGAGGAGUAUCUCAGGGAGAAAAAAUUCUAGAAUGCAACGGAUAUAUUGAUGACGUGGCGUAACAAAUCAAUCAAAUAUAUCUUUUUAAGGGUAUAUGCCCCAUUAUGAUUGUAAAAAAAUAUUUUUAUUGUACUUUUGUUUGAAAAUAAGAAAUGUGAUUGGUUUGUUAUUGAUGACGCGGUGCAAGUGUGAUAGUGCAGAAUUCCUCCUCAGAGAGACGAGUCGAAAAAAUAUAGCGUCUCAUACUAACUAUCUUAUAUAAAAACAUAGCGAAAAUUUUCUCAAUAACUUUCUAAAACUAUCUAAUUUUAUAAAUACUCAUUUAAAAAUUAAAAUAUCAAGUAUACCCUCAUAAAUUUAGAAACUUUCAAAAAAAACUACCAUUAAGUACCCACCCAAAUUGAAAUUCAUGAUAUUUAAAUUCCAACUUUACCCCUCUUUAUAUUUAAUGGUCAAUUACUAAUUUUAUUUCAUAAAUAUCCCCUGUUAUAUUUGAAAAUUAACUAAAUUCGAUU
rnacentral:lncRNA from 1 species